ACGGCGCGGGAUGGGGUCGCGGCCCAUUAGGUAGACGGCGGGGUAACGGCCCACCGUGCCCGCGAUGGGUAGCCGGACUGAGAGGUCGACCGGCCACAUUGGGACUGAGAUACGGCCCAGACUCCUACGGGAGGCAGCAGUGGGGAAUUUUGCGCAAUGGGGGAAACCCUGACGCAGCAACGCCGCGUGCGGGACGAAGGCCCUCGGGUUGUAAACCGCUUUCAGCAGGGAAGAUCCAAGACGGUACCUGCAGAAGAAGCUCCGGCUAACUACGUGCCAGCAGCCGCGGUAAUACGUAGGGGGCGAGCGUUAUCCGGAUUCAUUGGGCGUAAAGCGCGCGUAGGCGGCCGCCUAAGCGGGACCUCUAACCCCGGGGCUCAACCCCGGGCCGGGUCCCGGACUGGGCGGCUCGAGUGCGGUAGAGGAGAGCGGAAUUCCCGGUGUAGCGGUGGAAUGCGCAGAUAUCGGGAAGAACACCGAUGGCGAAGGCAGCUCUCUGGGCCGUCACUGACGCUGAGGCGCGAAAGCUGGGGGAGCGAACAGGAUUAGAUACCCUGGUAGUCCCAGCCGUAAACGAU
rnacentral:rRNA from 1 species